UCAUUAGAUGGCUGAAAGUAAGCACCGGUCUCUUAAACCGUUCUAUAGUAACUAACAAAUACUUCUAAUGAA
rnacentral:tRNA from 1 species